AGUCAAUAACCUUUACACUAACCAGUUCUUUCCUGCAGGCCGCAAGUUUGACCUGCGUGUCUACGUGCUAGUGAUGUCGUACAUCCCUCUGCGGGCGUGGCUGUACCGUGAUGGCUUCGCCCGCUUCUCCAACACCAGAUUCACAUUGAAUAGCAUCGACGACCACUAUGUUCACCUCACCAAUGUUGCUGUGCAGAAGACAUCACCUGACUACCACCCAAAAAAGGUGUCUCUUACUGAUCAACCAAUCUAUCAGCUGGUAUAUUAAACAGAUAUUCUGCCUACCAA
rnacentral:lncRNA from 1 species